AGCAGCCGCGGUAAUUCCAGCUCCAAUAGCGUAUAUUAAAGUUGUUGCAGUUAAAAAGCUCGUAGUUGAAUUUCGGGAUCAAUAUGUCGGUCGUGCCUUGGUACGUACUGGUAUCAUUGGUUUCUCCUUUCUGACGAACCAUGAUGUCAUUAAUUUGGUGUUAUGGGAAGUUAGGACUGUUACUUUGAAAAAUUGAGUGUUUAAAGCAAGCUAACGCUUGAAUACAUUAGCAUGGAAUAAUGAAAUAGGACGUUCGAUCCUAUUUUGUUGGUUUCUAGGAUUGACGUAAUGAUUAAUAGGGAUAGUUGGGGGCAUUAGUAUUCAAUUGUCAGAGGUGAAAUUCUUGGAUUUAUGAAGACUAACUACUGCGAAAGCAUUUGCCAAGGAUGUUU
rnacentral:misc_RNA from 1 species